AGCGAACGCUGGCGGCAGGCUUAACACAUGCAAGUCGAGCGGGCAUCCUUGUGAUGUCAGCGGCAGACGGGUGAGUAACGCGUGGGAACGUGCCCUUCGGUUCGGAAUAACUCAGGGAAACUUGAGCUAAUACCGGAUACGUGCGAGAGCAGAAAGGUUUAUCUGCCGAAGGAUCGGCCCGCGUCUGAUUAGCUAGUUGGUGAGGUUAUGGCUCACCAAGGCGACGAUCAGUAGCUGGUCUGAGAGGAUGAUCAGCCACACUGGGACUGAGACACGGCCCAGACUCCUACGGGAGGCAGCAGUGGGGAAUAUUGGACAAUGGGGGCAACCCUGAUCCAGCCAUGCCGCGUGAGUGAUGACGGCCUUAGGGUUGUAAAGCUCUUUUCUUCGGGACGAUAAUGACGGUACCGGAGGAAUAAGCCCCGGCUAACUUCGU
rnacentral:rRNA from 1 species